GACGAACGCUGGCGGCAUGCCUAACACAUGCAAGUCGAACGAGACCUCCGGGUCUUGUGGCGUACGGCUGCGUAAGGCGUGGGAAGCUUCACUUAGGUACGGCCUACCUAUCCGACUGGGGUGAUAAUACCAGAUAAUGUCUUCGGACAAAAGAUUUAUUGCCUCUGGAUGGGCCGGCGUUGGAUUCGGUAGUUGGUAGGGUAAAAGCCUACCAAGCCGAGGAUCCAUAGCUGGUCAGAGAGGAUGAGUAGCAGCACUGGGAUUGAGACACGGCCUAGACGCCUACGGGAGGCAGCGGUGGGGUAUAGUGGACCCUGGGCGAGAGCCUGGACCAGCAAUGCCGCGUAAGAGAUGAAUACCUUAGAAGAAUAAAGGUCUCGUACCCGAGAUGAGAAUGACAGGAACGGGAGAAGAAGCUCCGGCUAACUCCGUG
rnacentral:rRNA from 1 species